CCUACGGGGGGCUGCAGUGGGGAAUAUUGGACAAUGGGCGAAAGCCUGAUCCAGCCAUGCCGCGUGUGUGAAGAAGGCCUUCGGGUUGUAAAGCACUUUCAGUGGGGAAGAAAGCCUUGGGGCUAAUACCCUCGAGGAAGGACAUCACCCACAGAAGAAGCACCGGCUAACUCCGUGCCAGCAGCCGCGGUAAUACGGAGGGUGCGAGCGUUAAUCGGAAUUACUGGGCGUAAAGCGCGCGUAGGCGGUCUGAUAAGCCGGUUGUGAAAGCCCCGGGCUCAACCUGGGAACGGCAUCCGGAACUGUCAGGCUAGAGUGCAGGAGAGGAAGGUAGAAUUCCCGGUGUAGCGGUGAAAUGCGUAGAGAUCGGGAGGAAUACCAGUGGCGAAGGCGGCCUUCUGGACUGACACUGACGCUGAGGUGCGAAAGCGUGGGUAGCAAACAGGAUUAGAUACCCCAGCAGUC
rnacentral:rRNA from 1 species